rnacentral:rRNA from 1 species
UACGUAGGGACCGAGCGUUUGUCCGGAAUCAUUGGGCGUAAAGAGCGUGUAGGCGGCCACUUAAGUCCUGCGUGAAAUCUUGCGGCUCAACCGCAAGCGGUCGUGGGAAACUGGGUGGCUAGAGUGCGGGGAGAGGAGAGUGGAAUUCCUGGUGUAGCGGUGGAAUGCGCAGAUAUCAGGAAGAACACCCGUGGCGAAGGCGGCUCUCUGGAACGCAACUGACGCUGAGACGCGAAAGCGUGGGGAGCAAACAGG